rnacentral:tRNA from 1 species
GCGUCUGUAGCCUAGUUGGUAAAGGCAGAACUCUAGUAAUGCUGAGGUCAUGGGUUUGACUCCCAUCAGACACA